AGGGUAAAAGCCUACCAAGGCAAAGAUCGGUAGCCGGCCUGAGAGGGCACACGGCCACACUGGCACCGAAACACGGGCCAGACUCCUACGGGAGGCAGCAGUGGGGAAUCUUGCACAAUGGGGGAAACCCUGAUGCAGCGACGCCGCGUGAGCGAUGAAGCCCUUCGGGGUGUAAAGCUCUUUCGGCAGGGACGAUUAUGACGGUACCUGCAGAAGCAGCUGCGGCUAACUACGUGCCAGCAGCCGCGGUAAUACGUAGGCAGCGAGCGUUGUUCGGAGUUACUGGGCGUAAAGGGUGUGUAGGCGGUUUUUUAAGUUUGGUGUGAAAUCUCCCGGCUCAACUGGGAGGGUGCGCCGAAUACUGAAAGACUAGAGUGCGGGAGAGGAAAGUGGAAUUCCUGGUGUAGCGGUGAAAUGCGUAGAUAUCAGGAGGAACACCGGUGGUGUAGACGGCUUUCUGGACCGUAACUGACGCUGAGACACGAAAGCGUGGGUAGCAAACAGGAUUAGAUACCCUGGUAGUCCACGCCCUAAACGAUGCAUAUUUGGUGUGGGCAG
rnacentral:rRNA from 1 species